UGUGGAAGACAAUUUUUAUUUCUGUAACCCAGUACAGGGAGAAGACCGGGAAAAUAUCACCAGAUCAACUCAAAAUUACAAAGUUU